rnacentral:rRNA from 1 species
ACCAGACUCCUACGGGAGGCAGCAGUGGGGAAUAUUGCACAAUGGGGGAAACCCUGAUGCAGCGACGCCGCGUGAGUGAAGAAGUAUUUCGGUAUGUAAAGCUCUCUCAGCAGGGAAGAAAUAGCGACCUUUGGGUCGCCAGACGGUACCUGAUUAAGAAGCCCCGGCUAACUACGUGCCAGCAGCCGCGGUAAUACGUAGGGGGCAAGCGUUAUCCGGAUUUACUGGGUGUAAAGGGAGCGUAGACGGCAGCGCAAGUCUGGAGUGAAAUCCCAUGGCUUAACCAUGGAACUGCUUUGGAAACUGUGCAGCUGGAGUGCAGGAGAGGUAAGCGGAAUUCCUAGUGUAGCGGUGAAAUGCGUAGAUAUUAGGAGGAACACCAGUGGCGAAGGCGGCUUACUGGACUGUAACUGACGUUGAGGCUCGAAAGUGUGGGUAUCAAACAGGAUUAGAUACCCGUGUA